rnacentral:rRNA from 1 species
CACCAGCGCCACUAGUGGGGACCAGUUUUAUUGGGCCUAAAGCGUCCGUAGCUGGUUUGUUAAAUCCUUUGUGAAAUUGUCAGGCUUAACCUGACAGCGGGCAGAGGAGACUGGCAAACUAGGGACCGGGAGGAGUCAGAGGUAUUCCUUGGGGAGCGGUAAAAUGUUAUAAUCCUUGGAAGACCACCUGUGGCGAAGGCGUCUGACUAGAACGGAUCCGACAGUGAGGGACGAAAGCCAGGGGA